rnacentral:rRNA from 1 species
AUUGAACGCUGGCGGCAGGCCUAACACAUGCAAGUCGAGCGGAUGAAGGGAGCUUGCUCCUGGAUUCAGCGGCGGACGGGUGAGUAAUGCCUAGGAAUCUGCCUGGUAGUGGGGGAUAACGUCCGGAAACGGGCGCUAAUACCGCAUACGUCCUGAGGGAGAAAGUGGGGGAUCUUCGGACCUCACGCUAUCAGAUGAGCCUAGGUCGGAUUAGCUAGUUGGUGGGGUAAAGGCCUACCAAGGCGACGAUCCGUAACUGGUCUGAGAGGAUGAUCAGGCACACUAGAACUGAGACACGGACCUGAGUACUACGGGAGGCAGCAGUGGGGAAUAUUGGACAAUGGGCGAAAGACUGAUCCAGCCAUGCCACGUGUGUGGAGAAGGUCUUCGGAUUGUAAAGCACUUUAAGUUGGGAGGAAGGGCAGUAAGUUAAUACCUUGCUGUUUUGACGUUACCAACAGAAUAAGCACCGGCUAACUUCGUG